UGUUCACUAUUGUGAAUGUUGUUCACCUGAGUAUCGCGGACUGACUCAAUAUGCUCUCUCUGCGGGAGCCAAACAUUGGGAGCCAAACAUUGAAGAUAGAGGUUAUGUUAAACCUUGUUGUACCUGUGUGCUUGAUUGAAGAGUAUUGUUAUCUAGGUGCUGCGGAUAUAAUCAAAACUGUAGUCACGAUAUCUCCAUUUGCCGCUGUCAAUCCGUUGGAAAGCGAGGAGAAGGAUAAACAUUGUUUUGAACCCUUUUCAGCUAAUUUUGUAAUAACUAUCCAUCAAAAUUUCCAUCGCGAAUGGAAAAUAAUAAACUUUGCACACGAAAACAAAACUGGAAUAAUGGUGGAUUGAUCAUGUUUACCAUUUCCGAACAGCGUCGCGACGGCAUGUUUGACAACUGCGCUGAGAGAGGUGUUUGCAAGAAAAUUGAACGCUCGUGCGUGUUUACAAGCUGUGUGCCGGGAGUGUGUUGGUGUGUGUUAGCUAGCUUGAAAAAUAAAACCGUUUCUAUUCGCAGCACCUAGUUGUUCACAUAUAUUUUUUUACAGUGCAUAAUUUAGCCAACCAUAAGAUAAAUCAAUUCAACCAUAGUGGCUACUAUCGGUCUGCACCUCAUGUUUUCAACUGUCACUUAGCGAUGUUUUUCUUCGGGAGUAUUUUGUGGAGAUUUAUUUCGAGUUGCAUUUGCACGAAAAAACAACACCGAGAUCGACACUGAAUUGGUAUCCUGGCAAAAGAUGUUGUUCCAACGGCACCUCGCGGCUAGAUAGAGAAGAGUAAUCACUCCACGUAUGCUGUUCAUUCCGGUGGAAAACGGCAGCGAAUUUAUUGAUGAAAGCAAAGCAGAUAACGUCUUCCCGGUAAUGAGCUGAAUUAUUCUACACUUCAAGGCAAUGAGAUCGACCUACGAAUUUCUACCCACCAGCAUGCUGUCACACACAACAACGGAAUACGAAUAAUCCGCUCGCUAUUAACCACUCAACGAAAGGACACCAGCACGGUUCCUACUUAGCUUUCGACCUCAACCAAUAUUCCCGAAGCUUCUCCACCACAUCAGAAUGCUUUUCCUGAAAACGGCCGAAGUGAUCCUAUACAAAUUCAUUACAAUAUGUUCAAACAAUUGCUUCAGGAUUAAAUAAUUUGAAACAUA